ensembl:lncRNA
AUGCGCAGUGAGUUACAGACCAGCAUAGGCGUAAAACCCGGCGCUUGGUUUUGCGGGGUUCCUCAUCCAGCCCACGGAACAAGAAUUACCCUGUGCCUGAGUGCAUCUGAGGGAUUUGAAGCUCGUGAGGGCUCCAUGACCAGGAAGUUGUCUGAUCACCAUGCGGGGAGGAGGAGUCUGAGAGAACCCAGUACAGGAUCCUGCAGUGUGGUAUUCCUCCAACUUUACAGUGAUCCCCGUCGUUUGGAGGGCAUGGGAAAACAACUGCCUGGACCUUGUUCCCAGAGUGUCAAGUUCAUCACGUGUGAGUGGGGCCUGAGAUGCACAUCUGAGAAAUACGCAUUUCUAAGGUAUUCCCAGUGUGGUGCACCCUGAACAUCCCUGCUCUAGGGGAAGCUCUUCCUGCCCUUCGGAUCCUUUACCAGCUGCUCUGCUCUCCUAGGUGCCAACAGGUCAUGGCUGACCCUUCUGUUGCCCUUAGCCUAACACAAACACCUACCUCCAGGUGGGUGGAAUACCUGUUGUGGUUUGUGGUCAGGCGCUUCCAUGUGGAGCCGGACCAAAGCCCGUCUCCCAUGGAACCCAUAUUGUUGCUGAGCUGUUUCUCCUGCCCUGCUUCCCUCACUCCCUUCUCCUCAGAGCCUCUCCCCACAAUCACUUAACAAGAACGCUAGUUUCUUCCUCUGCUCCUAGAGAAUCCGACCUAAGAUGAAUCUUAUUCAUAUUUUUGUCAAAAUCAUCUUAAUAUGUAUAAAGCACCAAUUAUGCACUGGUGCUGUAUAUAGAGGCACGUUAAAAAAAAAAUACACGUCCAGCCCCAUCCUGGUCACCGCAUGUACCCCUGCCCUAUAAUCAGAGUCCCAAAGGUGUCACUGCAUUCUGCAUCCUAGAAUCCUGCCUCCAUUUUGCAAGAGUGACAUUGUCCCUUAAGAUACUGAAUUGGCAAACCUGAUGGAUGCAGGCCCUCUCCUACCUUAUGAUUGUCCGGGCCACCACACUGCCUACGGAAUGACACCCAGACUUCCUGGUUAGAGAUUAAAAACUCUAGAAACUGCUCCAGCUAGUUUGCUAAUGCUCCUGGGGCAUCUGCGUGAUUGCCUCACCCAAGCCAGCAUACUUACUGUAGGUGUUGUGUUCAGCUAGGCUCAGACACCUCUUUCUUUUCACGGACGCUUUCAAAGGAGCUUUUCAUGACUUUUCAGUCUGAUGGAGUCCCAGUUCCGUGUUUUCUUAACAAACUCUGUGCGCUUCUUUGAGAGUGUUUGUUUGCUUCCUCCAACCCCCAACGCCUACACAAAGCUUCAUAGCACUGUCUUUUUCUCCUGAUACCCAGAAACUGACUCACUGUAGGCACUCAAUUAUUCAGAUUUCGCUUCUGCUUUUCCUAGGAUGAGCUGUAUAAUUUGAAGCAAGAUAGUUAUUCUCUCCUCUCUCGAGUUACCCCAUCCCUGAAGUGGGACAGAUAAUAUAGUAGAUCUGUGAGUAAUGCAAGUGGAAGUGUCUAGCAGAAUGCCUCUGAAGAUCACAAACACAGUAAUGUCACCUCCCCUCUGUCAACACCCAUCAAAUCGUAUUCCCUCCUGAGGUUCUCUGCACCUUUCUGAGUCUUAUCCUUCCUUCAUGGCCUGGGCUUCCCUGCCCUCAGAAAUCUUUCCCAUUUUGGUCUCUGAUGGUCGGUGCCUGUGAGGGUGAAUAUGGAAACCACCCAAGAAAGUGGUGGCUGGCUAUGGCCUAUGGUCAACAGCAAAGGGUGUAUCUUAGCCCUUCUUCCCCUUCAUCACUGCAUGGAUUCUCCCCCCAGCCAGGAGCUCAGGGCCCCCUGCUGCAUGGUAUGAAAAUAAGGCAGGAGAAGAUGUUCAUUUUCGUAUCUUGCUCUGCCUCUGCCAGGUUGAGUGAUGAUGGAUAAGUUAUUUUCUGGCUCUGAUGGGCUUGUAAAAUGUGGGUGGGAGCGGGGAACAUCUCCCACGAUGGUUUGAAAGCAAAAUGGGGGAGCCUGUAUGAAAAUUUCUGACACGAAGCCGGCUUAUAAUUGUGGGUGCCAUCUACAUUAAUGAUUGAUAAAUGCAGUUGCCUGUGCAAGAGAUGAGGCCCUGAGCUAAGUCCACAGCGAUGGAGAUAGGGGAAGUUAGAUUCCACUGACUUUGGCAAUGAAAUUAUGUCCGUAUAGCUCAAAUAUAUGCUCAGUGCAUAAAACAGACUCAAACGUGCAGAGAGAGUACUUGGAAAUGUGCAAAGGCACUAAAAUCUCCAUCUUUUUAGAGUUGGGCUAAGGGAUGAGUAGUUUAAAACCUCUGAACUAUUUACUUGAUCUGGUCUUUCAACCACAUAGUCUUUCAGCGCACCUCUGCUGUGCAGAUUGGCGCAGGAAGUCUUCAUAGGCUCUUAAUCAAAGCUCGUAAUUCAUUUGCCUAAAAAGAAAGAAUGUGCUGUGGCGCUGAAAGCUGGAUUAUAAUCCUGGAGUAGGUGGGAGGAAAGUUUUUUCCCAUGGAAACUGCAUUUUUUAAAAAUAAUGAAGUUGAAUCGAACCAUGGCAAUGAUUGUGAUUUUGGAAGUCUGAAGACAUAAGGCCUGGCAUCGACAUUGGUUAUGGAAAGGCGGCAGAAGGAAAGGACAGGAACACAUGGUCUGGGCUGGGAACGAUCUGAGUUUGAGUCCGCGUUUUGCUACUGGUUGUGCAAAACUGGGCAAGUGAUUUCUGCAUUUUGGUUUUCUUGAAGACUGCGAUUGUCAUUAUUUAAAAUUGUUGUGUUAAAUAGUUCACAUAAAGUAAACGUAAUGCUUUCAACUUGUGGCGGAUACUUCAAAUAGUGGAGAUCAGGGUCAAAGAAUACGAUUGGAUGGUAAAGCCAACUAAAGCCACCCAGCUUAAAUACUGGCCUUGGGAAAUUUUUAUUCCCACGAUCUUUUGAAUUCUGGCAAAUUAUAAAGUACCUUAUAAACUUAAGAUAAUUCUAUUGCGGUGAAUCCAUUAAAUGAAGUAAAAGGAGAGAUAGUUCUAGACUGAAUGUAGGACAGAGCACUCUCAGUCGUUAAACAGGGAGCCAUUAGACUGGGGUGGCUCUAAUACCUUGGCAGCUUAUAUAAGCAAACUGACACCUGAGACUGAGUCAGUGCUCUCAAAGCUGAUAAAGAAACUUAAGAACAGGCAACCACAAAUAACCAACCAAACUUUCCCAGGUAAGACAGCUGCUUAUGCUUCAACCAGUCGUAAAAUUUAUCUGCUUUGCUUCCAGGUCUUCCCCAUAAAACACUGCCCCUGGAACCUGUUGGUGAGGUGCUUUUAAUCACCUUGGGUUCAGCAUUACCUGAUUUGAACCCACGUACGCUCAAACUCGUUUGGUGAGAUGCUGUGCGAGGUGUGGGGGCGGGGGUAGUGAAGAUGUUGGCAUUUCGAUUUACGAUUUACGUAUAUCGAAGGUACUUGGCUUAACUUCCGAGGACGAGAUCUCAACAUCACAUCACGUGUCCCAGCUCCCCACUAUGCAGCAUAAACUCACAGCAUGGAAAAGUGGGGAAAAGAAAUUGUUCUUAAAGUGCUCAUGCCUGCUUCCGCUCUUCUCCACUUGCCUCUUUGUAAUCCUUCAGGCAUGUAAUUUGCUUUCAGUAAAAUCAAGUAUUCCAGUAGCAUCCAGUCAUGGUGUUGGAUGCCAGGAAUAAAAUAAUCAAUGAACCUAGGAGGGACA